GAUGGGGUCAGCUAAUUAAGCUUUCGGGCCCAUACCCCGAGCAUGACGGUUAAAGUCCCUCCUCCAUCA
rnacentral:tRNA from 4 species